rnacentral:rRNA from 1 species
GUCUACGACCAUGCCACCCUGAACAAGCCCAAUGUCUGAUCUCGGAAGCUAAGCAGGGUCGAGCCUGGUUGGUACUUAGAUGGAAGACCACGUAGAAAGACCAAGUGCUGUAGGCA